rnacentral:rRNA from 1 species
UUGAACGCUGGCGGCAGGCCUAACACAUGCAAGUCGAACGCGAAAGUCCUUCGGGAUGAGUAGAGUGGCGGACGGGUGAGUAACGCGUAGGAAUCUACCUAGUAGUGGGGGAUAACUUGGGGAAACUCAAGCUAAUACCGCAUACGCCCCAAGGGGGAAAGCGGAGGAUCUUCGGACUUCGUGCUAUUAGAUGAGCCUGCGUAAGAUUAGCUAGUUGGUAGGGUAAAGGCCUACCAAGGCGACGAUCUUUAGCUGUUCUGAGAGGAUGAUCAGCCACACUGGGACUGAGACACGGCCCAGACUCCUACGGGAGGCAGCAGUGGGGAAUAUUGGACAAUGGGGGCAACCCUGAUCCAGCCAUGCCGCGUGUGUGAAGAAGGCCUUCGGGUUGUAAAGCACUUUCAGUGGGGAGGAAAGGUUGUAGGUUAAUACCCUGCAGCUGUGACGUUACCCACAGAAGAAGCACCGGCUAACUUCGU